rnacentral:rRNA from 1 species
AACCUCCGCAAUGUGAGAAAUCGCGACGGGGGGAUCCCAAGUGCCAUUCUUAACGGGAUGGCUUUUCAUUAGUGUAAAGAGCUUUUGGAAUAAGAGCUGGGCAAGACCGGUGCCAGCCGCCGCGGUAACACCGGCAGCUCUAGUGGUAACAAUUUUUAUUGGGCCUAAAGCGUCCGUAGCCGGUUUAAUAAGUCUCUGGUGAAAUCCUGCAGCUUAACUGUGGGAAUUGCUGGAGAUACUAUUAGACUUGAGACCGGGAGAGGUUAGAGGUACUCCCAGGGUAGAGGUGAAAUUCUGUAAUCCUGGGAGGACCGCCUGUUGCGAAGGCGUCUAACUGGAACGGUUCUGACGGUGAGGGACGAAAGUUAGGGGCGCGAACCGGAUUAGAUACCCGAGUAGUCCUAACUGUAAACGAUGCGGACUUGGUGUUGGGGUGGCUUUGAGCUGCUCCAGUGCCGAAGGGAAACUGUUAAGUCCGCCGCCUGGGAAGUACGGUCGCAAGACUGAAACUUAAAGGAAUU